rnacentral:rRNA from 1 species
UACGGAGGGUGCAAGCGUUGUUCGGAUUUAUUGGGCGUAAAGCGCGUGUAGGCGGCUCGGUAAGUCCGCUCUGAAAGUCCAGGGCUCAACCCUGGGAUGCGGGUGGAUACUGCCGGGCUCGAGUCCGGAAGAGGCGAGUGGAAUUCCCGGUGUAGCGGUGAAAUGCGCAGAUAUCGGGAGGAACACCAAUGGCGAAGGCAGCUCGCUGGGACG